GACGAACGCUGGCGGCGUGCUUAACACAUGCAAGUCGAACGGACUUACUUAUCUGACAUUUUCGGAUGAAGGGCGAGUAGGUUAGUGGCGGACGGGUGAGUAACGCGUGGGUAACCUACCCUUUUCACGGGGACAACAGUUGGAAACGACUGCUAAUACCGGAUGUGAUGGAGAGAAGGCAUCUUCUUUUUAUGAAAGGCGGCCUCUGAAUAUGCUGUCGGGAAAGGAUGGACCCGCGUCUGAUUAGGUAGUUGGUGAGGUAACGGCUCACCAAGCCCGCGAUCAGGAGCCGGCCUGAGAGGGUGGCCGGCCACAUUGGGACUGAGACACGGCCCAAACUCCUACGGGAGGCAGCAGUGGGGAAUCUUCCGCAAUGGGCGAAAGCCUGACGGAGCAACGCCGCGUGAGUGAAGAAGGCCUUCGGGUCGUAAAGCUCUGUCUUUAGGGACGAAAAGGCAGUAGAGUAAUAUGCUAUUGCUGUGACGGUACCUGAGGAGGAAGCUCCGGCUAACUACGUGCCAGCCGCCGCGGUAA
rnacentral:rRNA from 1 species